rnacentral:rRNA from 1 species
UACAGAGGGUGCGAGCGUUGUCCGGAAUCACUGGGCGUAAAGGGCGCGUAGGCGGCCUGAUAAGUAGGGGGGUGAAAUCCUGCGGCUCAACCGCAGGGCUGCCUUCUAAACUGUCAGGCUGGAGCACGGUAGAGGCAGAUGGAAUUCCCGGUGUAGCGGAUCGGAAUGCGUAGAGAUCGGGAAGAACACCAGUGGCGAAGGCGGUCUGCUGGGCCGUUGCUGACGCUGGAGGCGCGACAGCGUGGGGAGCAAACAGG